ACUGUUGCUGUACAUGAGGAAGAAGUUGUACAAGACACAGCUGCAUCACAACCCUUCCCCUCAACAGGAGGGCUUCCUGAAGAAUAUGUAAUGCUGAGUACAUAGAUAAUGUAACUCAGAUCACAAGACAUAACUGUCUUCUUAACUCAGAUCACAAGACACAACUGAUAUACCCAGUUAGUGACUUUUGUGUCUGAACCCAUCUUCUCCUUGCUACCAGAUAUUGCUUGCUUCUGGUGCAUCCUCA
rnacentral:lncRNA from 1 species